CCUACGGGGGGCUGCAGUGGGGGAUAUUGCACAAUGGGGGAAACCCUGAUGCAGCGACGCCGCGUGUGGGAAGACGGUCCUCUGGAUUGUAAACCACUGUCCCCAGGGACGAAGAUGACGGUACCUGGGGAGGAAGCUCCGGCUAACUACGUGCCAGCAGCCGCGGUAAUACGUAGGGAGCGAGCGUUGUCCGGAAUUACAGGGUGUAAAGGGAGCGUAGGCGGGGAUGCAAGUUGGGUGUCAAAACUACCGGCUCAACUGGUAGUCGCACUCAAAACUGCAGCUCUUGAGUGAAGUAGAGGCAGGCGGAAUUCCUAGUGUAGGAGUGAAAUCCGUAGAGAUCUGGAGGAACAUCAGUGGCGAAGGCGACUAUCUGGCACAUAACUGACGCUGAGGAGCGAAAGCGUGGGUAGCAAACAGGAUUAGAUACCCUAGUAGUC
rnacentral:rRNA from 1 species